GGUUGGCUUAAAAGGUAUGUGCUUGGCAGUAGGAUUUUAGGUCAUCAUAAAUUAAAAUUGGAUUUUCUUCACUCAGGGAAUAUUAGGAUGAUGGGAUUAUCUAUCCUCUGAAAUUUGUGAAAUCAAACAGAA
rnacentral:snoRNA from 1 species